AUUGAACGCUGGCGGCAGGCCUAACACAUGCAAUUCGAGCGACCGUCGGACGGGUGAGUACUUUCUGGGAAACUGCCUGAUGGAGGGGGCUAACUACUGGACACUGUAGCUACUACCGCAUACCCUCAGAUUUUGCCCGAUGGGAUUUGCUAGCAGGUCGGGUAACGGCGCACCUAGGCGACGAUCCCUUUCUGGUCUGAGAGGAUGACCAGACCCACGGUAACUGAGACACGGUCCAGACUCCUACGGGAGGCAGCAGUUGGGAAUAUUGCACAAUGGGCGCAAGCCUGAUACAGCCAUGCCGCGUGUGUGAAGAAGGCCUUCGGGUUGUAAAGCACUUUCAGCGGGGAGGCGUUACCCGCAGAAGAAGCACAGGCUAACUCCGUGCCAGCCGCCGCGGUAAUAC
rnacentral:rRNA from 1 species